UUUGAUCUCUGAGAAUCUAGAGAUAUUUAUCACAAUGAAAUGAAAUUUGAGGGCAAAGUUAACCAACAAGAGAUGUCUUUUUAAUAAAUUUUCUUGGAUUGAAUGUUCUUGUUGUUGGUAAUAUGGGCUGCUUUCAGGUUGAUCCAAGAGUGCUGGGACCCUGAACCUGUGGUGAGGCCAACGUUUUCUGAAAUCAUCGUUCGACUGGACAGAGUAGUCUCAUAUUGUGCAAAGCAAGGCUGGUGGAAAGAAACAUUCAAACUUCCCUGGAAAUGAAGCGGUUAUGAAUUGAUUUCCUUUGACAGAGAUGUUGCUUUCAGAUUCAAGAGACACAUCCAACCACCACUGAUAUGGGUUUCCAAAGCUCUUGUACACUUAAUCUGGAAGAUGUAACAGUAUGUAUUCUGUAUUUUUGGACUGAUAUUUAUUCACAAUAUUGUUGCGCGUAUAUGUAUACAUGUAUAUGUAUAUGAAUAAAGGGAGGGUCAUGGAUCAUGGAAGGUUGGUGUUUUAAUAAAUUGCUUCCCUAAAGAGGGAAUGCGACAGCCAUCUCUUUUUCGCUGUCUC